CUGGGGAGGAGCUGCGGGUUCCAGAGGCAGAGCCCUGUGGGCUGGAAUUUUAGAGUAACCAUUUUGUAGAUAUCAGAUCCAAAUGAAGCUGGAUAUACAGAGAAGUGUGCCGCAGAGAGAGGAAGAAAAUGCACCACUUUUUGAUGGCUACGAUGUGCCAUAUUUUGUGACAUGGACUUUCAUAUACAUUUUCUACUUAAUAUGCACAGCGAUCCUCAAAGACAAACGUGAGGAUACAGCAAGAUGGUGACUAUCUGUAAGCUAGAAGAGAGGGUACCCGUCAGAAACCAACCCUGCUGACACCUGAUCCUGAACUUCCAGCCUCCGGAACUACAUGAGAUGAUGAACCUCAAGUACCACCCCAGACAACAAGGCUGCUUCAUCAGGACACAAACCUGCCUGUACCAGGACCUCUGACCUGUGUGCAGCAGAAGGAGUGGGUCAACAUAGCUUCUGAAGAGCAUUCAUUGGAGUGAAUCUGCCAUUUAUUGGCUGUUCUUCAAACCAUAAGACUGAUAUUGAUGGUCAGCUUACAGAGGUAUGCUCUCUACAGAUUUUCACGCCCAUCCAAUCUGUAAUGUGGCUCAUCUGUGACUCAUUCAUCAGGAGCAUGAAUUUUAGUGGCGAAGAGAAUCUGACCAGCCUUGUUCCACAGAGCUCAUAUGAAAUGUGCUGAUGAUCUUUGUGCUGGCCGCAGGAAUGGUAAUAAAACCAAUUGGACUAACCAUAAUCCUUCUAUAGAUUAACAUGAUUUCAGAAUUAUUAACCACUUUCACAUGACUCUAUGUACAUAGCCACAACUGGUUACGUUGUACAUUAUGGUAAUCACUAUUACAUGGUGAUUUUGCUUCCAACAUUAUAUACACACAUUCAACAAAGCUGAUUUUAAUUUUGGGAGCCAGAUUCUAUUUAUUCUUCAGGGAAAAUAAAGCAGACAAAACCUUCAAGUUUUA
rnacentral:lncRNA from 10 species